rnacentral:rRNA from 1 species
UACGUAGGGGGCAAGCGUUGUCCGGAAUCAUUGGGCGUAAGGCGCGUGUAGGCGGCCAGAAAAGUCCGCUGUGAAAACUCGAGGCUCAACUUCGAGCUGUCGGUGGAAACUUUCUGGCUAGAGUCCGGAAGAGGAGAAUGGAAUUCCUGGUGUAGCGGUGAAAUGCGCAGAUAUCAGGAAGAACACCCGUGGCGAAGGCGGUUCUCUGGGACGGUACUGACGCUGAGACGCGAAAGCGUGGGGAGCGAACAGG